rnacentral:rRNA from 1 species
UACGGAGGGGGCUAGCGUUGUUCGGAAUUACUGGGCGUAAAGCGCGUGUAGGCGGGACUUUAAGUCGGGGGUGAAAGCCCGGGGCUCAACCUCGGAACUGCCUUCGAUACUGCGGAUCUGGAGUCUGGGAGAGGUGAGCGGAAUUCCGAGUGUAGAGGUGAAAUUCGUAGAUAUUAGGAGGAACACCAGAGGCGAAGGCGGCUCACUGGACCAGUACUGACGCUGAGACGCGAAAGCGUGGGGAGCAAACAGG